GCCAUCCUUCAAAGAAAGCGUAAUAGCUCACUGAUCGAGUCUUCCUGCGCGGAAGAUGUAACGGGGCUAAGUCAAUAACCGAAGCCGCGGAUUCGCAGCAAUGCGAGUGGUAGGGGAGCGUUCUGUAAGCCUGCGAAGGCGGAUCCGCGAGGACCGCUGGAGGUAUCAGAAGUGCGAAUGCUGACAUGAGUAACGUUAAAGCGGGUGAAAAGCCCGCUCGCCGCAAGCCCAAGGUUUCCUGCUCUACGUUCAUCGGAGCAGGGUGAGUCGGCCCCUAAGGUCAGGCUGAGAAGCGUAGCUGAUGGGAAGCUGGUUAAUAUUCCAGCACCGAUUUCAAGUGCGAAGGGGGGACGGAGUCCUGAAGGUCAUCCGGGUGUUGGAUAUCCCGGUUUACGAGCGUAGGAGGUUGACAGGCAAAUCCGUCAACGAAUCUCCAAGGCGAAGGAUCGAGGUUGAGAGAUCAACUGAAGUGACUGAAUGGGCUUCCAGGAAAAGCCUCUAAGCGUCAGCUUGGAAUUGACCGUACCGCAAACCGACACUGGUGGGCGAGCUGAAUAUGCUCAGGCGCUUGAGAGAACUCAGGAGAAGGAACUCGGCAAAUUGACACCGUAACUUCGGGAUAAGGUGUGCCUUUGUAGUGUGAAGAGAGAAACACUCCGAGCAUGAAGAGGCCUCAGAGAAUCGGUGGCUGCAACUGUUUACUAAAAACACAGCACUCUGCAAAGAUGAAAGUCGACGUAUAGGGUGUGAUGCCUGCCCGGUGCUGGAAGAUUAAUUGAUGGGGUGCAAGCUCCUGAUCGAAGUCCCAGUAAACGGCGGCCGUAACUAUAACGGUCCUAAGGUAGCGAAAUUCCUUGUCGGGUAAGUUCCGACCUGCACGAAUGGCAUAAUGAUGGCCACACUGUCUCCUCCCGAGACUCAGUGAAGUUGAAAUGUUUGUGAUGAUGCAAUCUCCCCGCGGCUAGACGGAAAGACCCCAUGAACCUUUACUGCAGCUUUGCAUUGGACUUUGAACCGAUCUGUGUAGGAUAGGUGGGAGGCAGUGAAGCUAGGACGCCAGUCUUAGCGGAGCCAACCUUGAAAUACCACCCUGAUUUGUUUGAGGUUCUAACCUAGGAGCGUAAUCCGCUUCGGGGACCGUGCAUGGUAGGCAGUUUGACUGGGGCGGUCUCCU
rnacentral:rRNA from 1 species